rnacentral:lncRNA from 1 species
CGGGAAAGUUUCCCAGCUGCACUUCUGGGAAAUGCAGAGGCUGCCUGCCGCUUUCUUUGGUGGUUUUGCGGCCCAAGGCUUGGGCGAAUCAGUUCACAUCAACACCCCUACUAGCCUCUCCCUCCGGGGUCGACCAUUUAUCUCCAGCAGCGGACCAGGCGCCCGGGGCCAGGGUGACAUGCGCGCCCUGCCUACACGCAGCUCGGAUCCUCUGCUGUUUCUGGAGAGGCCUCCACAGUUGCCCUCUGCUGGAAAACAGCAUCUUUGUCCUCUGAGAAAAACAGUCUCCCUUCUUACGGAGGCCAGUGGAUUCCAUCCUAGAGGCUGUGUUGACCGUAUCUCCAAAUAGACAAUAACGAGGCAUCUUGAUUCCCACAACUCCAGCAGCACAGGGACCUGAAAUGAAGGACAGAAAGCAGGAAGUGGAGGCAAUAGAAAUUGCAGAGUAGAGUGAAGACAGGUGGCAUUUCUGGGAUUGGUGCCAUGACAAUGGAAGACAGAAGACAAGACAAAGGCAUAACUUUCCUCAGCCUAAACACUGCCCAUUUUUUGGAGGUGAUUUAAGGUAUGCCAUUUUGUCUAAAGUUAAUACUUCAAAUUAAUUCCUGCUGAACUUCCUGUUGUACCUUUUUUGCUGCUUCUUAAAGUUGAAUGGUAAUUUUGACUUCUCACUCCUCUAAUCCUUCUACUUCUCUUCACUUUUAGCUCAGAUUCAACCACCAAUUCACUAAAUGUGAAACUAGAGUGGACAAGAGUAGUAACAGAAACAACCAAUUCAGGCUCUGAUGACCUUGAGUUGUACAAUUAAUGGUUUCAGCCUGUUAGGUGAUGUGGUUA